rnacentral:rRNA from 1 species
CUCGCUGAACUUAAGCAUAUCAAUAAGCGGAGGAAAUGAAACCAACAGGGAUUGCCUCAGUAACGGCCAGUGAAGCGGCCACAGCUCAAAUUUGAAAUCUGGCUCUCACAGGGUCCGAGUUGUUUUUUGUAGAAGAUGCUUCGGGUGUGGCUCCGGUCUAAGUUCCUUGGAACAGGACGUCAUAGAGGGUGAGAAUCCCGUACGUGACUGGUCGCCUUCGCCCAUGUGAAGCUCUUUCGACUAGACGAGUUGUUUGGGAAUGCAGCUCAAAAUGGGUGGUAAAUUUCAUCUAUAGCUAAAUAUGGGCCAGAGACCGAUAUCGCACAAGUAGAGUGAUAGAAAGAUGAAAAGCACUUUGGAAAGAGAGUUAAACAGUACGUGAAAUUGUUGAAAUGGAAGCGCUUGCAGCCAGACUUGCGCGCUGCUGAUCCUCCAUGGUUCUCUCCGGUGCACUCGGUUGCGCUCAGACCAGCAUCGGUUUGAGUGCUUGGAUAAAGGCUGUGGGAAUGCUAGCUUCUAUCGGGGAGUGUUAUAAAACUUGAGCUAUAUCCAGCCUCACUGGCAGUUAGGUACGCGAAUCCUUGUAUAGAUUCUUGUCCAACGCUUGAUAAGACUGAUCGCUGAAGUUCAGCACG